GUUUAAGGUGUCCAAAUUUACUUUUCAAAUUUCUUAUGUUUCUAAAGUAAAAUUUUAACAUUAGUUUCUUCGAAUUGCCAGUAUAUUUUCCCAAGGGACGAACGGAGCGCAAUGCGCGUCCUGCAUAUCGAAACCUUGCUCAGCACUAAUCGGGAGCGGCGUUUUCGAGUGGAAAGUCACACGGGCGCUGGUUUCCAAAGGAUAUUUUUCUCACCUCGAAACCAAGUCCAAUCCCCCCAAAUGUUGCGAGAAGGAAGAAACGGCGGCCGGAGCAGAUCCGUCACGACGGAACAUCGCGAUUACGCGAACACAUAUCAUAAGGGAUGCGUAAGCGGCGAAGGGGGAAAGGGAGGCGGAACGAAGAGAGACGGUCACCGGGAUUAUAUGUAUCUAAUUAUCCGUGCAUAACGCAUAUUAUCCAUGCGCGAUGAAGAAGCGAUCGCGCAUCCCGAGAUUAUCCGUAAGCGUAGCGUAACUUAACUGCAAUACAUCCGCACUUUGCGUGUACAUACACACACAUACACACGCGCGCGCGCGCGCGCGCGCGAGAAGACACGCAUGCAUACAUUACAUAACAUGUGGAUAUAGGAAACAGACACAUACAUACCUUCAGUACACGCAAAGACACAUGUAUGUAUAUUUAUUUGAUGAAAACCCAAGUAAUUCGAAAUGCGUAUGUAAUUGAAAUCCUAUGACACUGUAAUGUUGUUGAACCGGUUAUUAAAGAUGUCAUUGUUACCGAAGAAUA